UACGGGGGGGCAAGCGUUGUUCGGAAUUACUGGGCGUAAAGGGCGCGUAGGCGGCCUUCUAAGUCGAACGUGAAAUCCCCGGGCUCAACCCGGGAACUGCGUCCGAUACUGGAUGGCUUGAAUCCGGGAGAGGGAUGCAGAAUUCCAGGUGUAGCGGUGAAAUGCGUAGAUAUCUGGAGGAAUACCGGUGGCGAAGGCGGCAUCCUGGACCGGCAUUGACGCUGAGGAGCGAAAGCCAGGGGAGCAAACGGG
rnacentral:rRNA from 1 species